UUUUUAUACCUUGUCAAUUGUAUUGUAAUGGAAAGAAUUUAUAUUUGAAAAAUAAUUUAUUAGGGUAAUUAAUAGUAAUUUUUAAUGAAUAAAGAUUUAAAUGACUAUAGUUAAGAGUACUGUGAAGGAAGGAUUUAAUUUAAUUAAAAGAAAUAAAGUAGGAAUUUAUUUUUGUACCUUGUGUAUCAGGGAAAAUUAAUAUAUUAUUAAGUAUUAAUUAAAGAUCUCGAAAUAAAAAUAGCUAAUCUUAUAAGAAAGUUUUUGUUGCAUAAAAAUUUUUAAUGUGAGAUUAGAAGUGAAAUGUUAAUCGAGUUUUAUAAUAUCUAGUUCUCUAUGAAAUAAAUAUAAUUUAGGUUUUAUAGGUAAGUAUAAUAUAAGGAAAAAAAAUAGAAGGGAAAAGCUUUUUAUUAAAAAAUAGCUUAAAUAAAAUAAAUAAAUUUAUCUAGGCUUAAAAGUAGCUAUGUUUGUAAAGUGUUUUAAUUAAAACCACGAUUAAUAUUAUUUUUAUAGGAGCUUUAAUAUGUAUUAGAGAUUUGUUUUGAAUUUUAUGUAACAAGAUAAGAUAAUUUUAUUAGUAGAAGUUAUAUAUUUAGAGAAGGAAGAUGGAAUAAUGAAGAAGAUAUUUCAAUAAUUAGGUGAAAUAGAGGAAUUCGGCAAGUAUUUUCUUUGCCUGUUUAUCAAAAACAUGUUUGUUUGGAGAUAUAAAGAAUUUGACCUGCCCCCUGAUUAACAAUUAAAGGGCCGCAGUAUUAUAACUGUGCAAAGGUAGCAUAAUCAUUAGGUUUUUAAUUGGGAUCUUGUAUGAAUGGUUGGACAAAAGAAAGACUCUCUUUAUAUUAAAUUUUGAAUUUAACUUUUAAGUGAAAAGGCUUAAAUAUUCUAAAGGGACGAUAAGACCCUAUAAAACUUUACAUUGUGGUUAAUUUUUGGUUGAAUUUGUAAAAUAAGAAUUUUAUUUAAUUAUUUGUUGUGUUGGGGAGACAUAAGUAAAAUAAUAUUUUAACUGCUUAAUAAUUAUACAAUUAUCAAUGAGUAAAUAGAAGAUCCUUUUUAAAGAUUAAUAGAUUAAGUUACUUUAGGGAUAACAGUGUAAUUUCUUUUGAGAGUUCUUAUCGAAAAAGGAGAUUGCGACCUCGAUGUUGAAUUAAAAUAUCUAUGUAAUGGAGAGGUUAUAUAAGAAGGUCUGUUCGACCUUGAAAUUUUUACAUGAUUUGAGUUCAGACCGGUGUAAGCCAGGUUGGUUUCUAUCUUUUAGAUUGAAGUGAUUAUUUUAGUACGAAAGGAGUAAAUAGUCAAAAUAGUUUUUAAG
rnacentral:rRNA from 1 species